UACGGAGGGUGCAAGCGUUAAUCGGAAUUACUGGGCGUAAAGGGCUCGCAGGCGGUUCCUUAAGUCUGAUGUGAAAGCCCCCGGGCUCAACCUGGGAACUGCAUUCGAAACUGGCAGGCUUGAGUCUUGUAGAGGGGGGUAGAAUUCCAGGUGUAGCGGUGAAAUGCGUAGAGAUCUGGAGGAAUACCGGUGGCGAAGGCGGCCCCCUGGACAAAGACUGACGCUCAGGUGCGAAAGCGUGGGGAGCA
rnacentral:rRNA from 1 species